GACGAACGCUGGCGGCGUGCUUAACACAUGCAAGUCGAACGGAAAGGCCCUGCUUUUGUGGGGUGCUCGAGUGGCGAACGGGUGAGUAACACGUGAGUAACCUGCCCUUGACUUUGGGAUAACUUCAGGAAACUGGGGCUAAUACCGGAUAGGAGCUCCUGCUGCAUGGUGGGGGUUGGAAAGUUUCGGCGGUUGGGGAUGGACUCGCGGCUUAUCAGCUUGUUGGUGGGGUAGUGGCUUACCAAGGCUUUGACGGGUAGCCGGCCUGAGAGGGUGACCGGCCACAUUGGUACUGAGAUACGGCCCAGACUCCUACAGGAGGCAGCAGUGGGGAAUAUUGCACAAUGGGCGGAAGCCUGAUGCAGCAACGCCGCGUGCGGGAUGACGGCCUUCGGGUUGUAAACCGCUUUCGCCUGUAACGAAGCGUGAGUGACGGUAAUGGGUAAAGAAGCACCGGCUAACUACGUG
rnacentral:rRNA from 1 species